ACUGAACUCCUUUGCUGGCCACGUUAUCCGCACACAGCGAGGCGGACUUGUCACGAGCAGUUGUUUCUUUGCUUCGGAGGUAAGGACUCAACUCCUUUGCUGGCCACGUUAUCCGCACACAGCGAGGCGGACUUGUCACGAGCAGUUGUUUCUUUGCCUCGGAGGUAAGGACUCAACUCCUUUGCUGGCCACGUUAUCCGCACACAGCGAGGCGGACUUGUCACGAGCAGUUGCUUGUUUGUCUCGGAGGUAGUACACUUACAUUGAAGGCGAUGAUAUCCUUGGCGUUAUCUUCAUGCGUGGCCUGUUUGAUGGCCUUGUGGUGUGUUGCAGUAGCUUCUGCCGACGAUAAGUAUCCUGUUGCUGUCGGCGGUGGAACUCCUUUACAAGAAGUUCUUGAUGGCAUAUGGAAAAUACCUUUCGUUGCAGGGAUUAUCAUACAAAUCACAGCUAUUAUAAACACAAUCUAUACAUUCUUCGUCAAUAUUGUGCUUACGCCCCCGGCGCUUGUGAUUGAGAAAGGGGGCAACUGAAAUGAGGAAAUGAAACAAGCCGGAUACAAACAGCACAGAAUAAUGAAUAACCCCAUGCUAAGUUUGAACAAACAAGUCGAGAGUAAAUCCUGCAUUUCAAGACGGGUUAAGGUACCCGCCGGUAACAACUCGUUCGUUUUACUGCACGACCACUUCGCUUCUCAGUCGCCUCUUCUAGUCAUGCCUCCCCUUAACUACCCAAUGGGGUUGGUUUCAAGAAUUAAUUCGUUCAAAUUUUCGUUUCCUUGUUAUAAGAAUUCAUGAAAUGUACAGAAAAACUAACAUUUGUGUUCUAUACUCUGAAUUACUGAUUGCAGCGCAUAAUGAUAUCAUUCCUUAAUAAUCAGAGGCAAAUGUGUGAAGCUGUUUGUUGCGCCCUGUUACUUCACUUACAUUUACCAGUGAUAUCAGAGAGAAUUCAAGGCCUAGGGAGGAUCACUCUGCUUUCACCCGCCAUGGUAACGCUGCAAGGGCACGAGAUAGCAGCAAGUAAGCCCUUAAGGACAGAGGUGAGGCGAAUGUACCAACUUCAAGUGGUUACUCCUCUGCUAGAAAAGUCUUGGAUGUGUGCUGUACGAUUGUCGGGGACAUGUGCACUCGUGUCUCUUGUCAGUCCUGGGUGCACAAAGAAUGAAUGCGUCUCACUGGAAGAGGAGUGUGUCAUAACUUGCGCCGCAGCAGCAUGCGCAUUACUGCAUGAAACUCAAUUCAUUGAGUUUAUUAAGUCUUCGUUUUACAAGCUGUAGGUUUACAUUUCGUGUAUUUUUCACGUUUUACAUUAUAUCCUGAAAGAACAAACAUGAACUGACACUUUCCACUAGAACGUGCUUUCUAUGAUUAUAUUGCUUUCUUUAUGAAGACCUUCUUACCUACAAGUACCUAACUAUGACUGAAACAUGAGAAGUCUACAUAGCAGGAAACAGUUCUCU